rnacentral:rRNA from 1 species
AUACGUAGGGUGCAAGCGUUAAUCGGAAUUACUGGGCGUAAAGCGUGCGCAGGCGGUUUUGUAAGACAGUGGUGAAACCCCGGGCUCAACCUGGGAACUGCCAUUGUGACUGCAAGGCUGGAGUGCGGCAGAGGGGGAUGGAAUUCCGCGUGUAGCAGUGAAAUGCGUAGAUAUGCGGAGGAACACCGAUGGCGAAGGCAAUCCCCUGGGCCUGCACUGACGCUCAUGCACGAAAGCGUGGGGAGCAAACAGGAUUAGAUACCCUGGUAGUCCACGCCCUAAACGAUGUCAACUGGUUGUUGGGGAUUUAUUUUCUCAGUAACGAAGCUAACGCGUGAAGUUGACCGCCUGGGGAGUACGGCCGCAAGGUUAAAACUCAAAUGAAUUGACGGGG